rnacentral:rRNA from 1 species
ACGAAGGGGGCUAGCGUUGUUCGGAUUUACUGGGUGUAAAGCGUACGUAGGCGGAUUGUUAAGUGAGAGGUGAAAUCCCAGGGCUCAACCCUGGAACUGCCUUUCAUACUGGUAAUCUUGAGUUCGGAAGAGGUGAGUGGAAUUCCUAGUGUAGAGGUGAAAUUCGUAGAUAUUAGGAAGAACACCGGUGGCGAAGGCGGCUCACUGGUCCGAUACUGACGCUGAGGUACGAAAGCGUGGGGAGCAAACAGGAUUAGAUACCCUGGUAGUCCACGCCGUAAACUAUGGGUGCUAGCCGUUGGAAAGCUUGCUUUUCAGUGGCGCAGCUAACGCAUUAAGCACCCCGCCUGGGGAGUACGGUCGCAAGAUUA